AGUGAACGCUGGCGGUAGGCCUAACACAUGCAAGUCGAACGGCAGCACAGUAAGAGCUUGCUCUUACGGGUGGCGAGUGGCGGACGGGUGAGGAAUACAUCGGAAUCUACUUUUUCGUGGGGGAUAACGUAGGGAAACUUACGCUAAUACCGCAUACGACCUACGGGUGAAAGCAGGGGAUCUUCGGACCUUGCGCGAUUGAAUGAGCCGAUGUCGGAUUAGCUAGUUGGCGGGGUAAAGGCCCACCAAGGCGACGAUCCGUAGCUGGUCUGAGAGGAUGAUCAGCCACACUGGAACUGAGACACGGUCCAGACUCCUAGGGGAGGCAGCAGUGGGGAAUAUUGGACAAUGGGCGCAAGCCUGAUCCAGCCAUACCGCGUGGGUGAAGAAGGCCUGCGGGUUGUAAAGCCCUUUUGUUGGGAAAGAAAAGCAGCAGGUUAAUACCCCGCUGUUCUGACGGUACCCAAAGAAUAAGCACCGGCUAACUUCGU
rnacentral:rRNA from 1 species